UACAGAGGUCUCGAGCGUUAGGCGGAAUCACUGGGCUUAAAGCGUGUGUAGGCGGAUCGUUAAGUACCUUGUGAAAUCCCUCGGCUUAACCGGGGAACUGCAUCUGAUACUGGAUGGCUUGAGUUCGGGAGAGGGAUGCGGAAUUCCAGGUGUAGCGGUGAAAUGCGUAGAUAUCUGGAGGAACACCGGUGGCGAAGGCGGCAUCCUGGACCGGCACUGACGCUGAGGAGCGAAAGCCAGGGGAGCAAACGGG
rnacentral:rRNA from 1 species